UUUUCAGAAAGUGUUACUUGUUGGGAAAGUAUUUUCCACUUCGAUUUGUAUAGUCAGGGAGACGGACUUAGCAAUUUCUCCGUUGGUGCUUACUUAGCUCAUCAUCAACAUCAACAGUAAUUUGCUUGGGUAGUGAAAAAUUCAGAAGAUCCAGAAGCAGCCAUGAAAAUUGCGAUUAUUUUUCAAUACAGUAUUCUUGUUUCUCUAUUUGCAAGUGCAGUAUUAUGCCAAGACUUCGUCAUAGUCGAACCCCAAACAAGGACAUACAAUAUGAACGAAAAUAUUACUCUAAGGGUUUAUCAUGACUUGGAAGACGUGGAGGUGUUAAUAGACACAUUGAAUUGUACAGAAUAUGAGUUAGGAAAGGGAUAUCUCAACAUAGAAAUGACGUCUGUGAUUCAUAACUUAAAUGGCCUCGCAGAACUGGGGUAUAAAGUGGUCGGUUAUGGUAGGGAUACCUAUUAUUACGACCGCUGGACUCUACAAAGAAGAGUUUCUGAAAUUGAUGAUGGUGGUAGUUCUGCUAAUAUUUUAGAAUGCUUUCCAAGAAUGUUUAGUUUCAUGAUAGUUUUAAUUUUGCUUGUAAUUAAAGAGAUGGUAUAAUA